GUGCAGCAGGCGAGAAACCUCCGCAAUACACGAAAGUGUGACGGGGCCAUCCCGAGUGCCGUCCGCUGAGGACGGCUUUUCCCCAGUGUACACAGCUGGGGGAAUAAGGAGAGGGCAAGCCUGGUGUCAGCCGCCGCGGUAAUACCAGCUCUCCGAGUGGUGGGGACGCUUAUUGGGCCUAAAGCAUCCGUAGCCGGCUGGGCAAGUCCUCCGUUAAAUCCAACGAUUCAAUCGUUGGGCUGCGGGGGAUACUGUCCAGCUUGGGGGCGGGAGAGGCCGACGGUAUUCCCGGGGUAGGGUGAAAUCCUAUAAGUCCCCGGGAGGACCACCAGUGGCGAAGGCGUGUCGGCUAGAACGCGCCCGACGGUGAGGGAUGAAAGCU
rnacentral:rRNA from 1 species